UACAGAGGGUGCGAGCGUUAAUCGGAGUUACUGGGCGUAAAGGGCGCGUAGGUGGUUUGAUAAGUCGGAUGUGAAAGACCAGGGCUUAACCCUGGGGUUGCGUACGAAACUGUUGAACUGGAGUCGUGUAGAGGGUGGUGGAAUUUCCGGAGUAGCGGUGAAAUGCGUAGAUAUCGGAAGGAACACCGGUGGCGAAGGCGGCCACCUGGACACAGACUGACGCUGAGGCGCGAGAGCGUGGGGAGCAAACAGG
rnacentral:rRNA from 1 species